rnacentral:rRNA from 1 species
AUUGAACGCUGGCGGCAUGCUUUACACAUGCAAGUCGAACGGCAGCACGGGGGCAACCCUGGUGGCGAGUGGCGAACGGGUGAGUAAUAUAUCGGAACGUACCCGGAAAUGGGGGAUAACGUAGCGAAAGUUACGCUAAUACCGCAUAUGCCCUAAGGGGGAAAGCGGGGGAUUCGCAAGAACCUCGCGUUUUCGGAGCGGCCGAUAUCGGAUUAGCUAGUAGGUGAGGUAAAGGCUCACCUAGGCGACGAUCCGUAGCUGGUCUGAGGGGACGACCAGCCACACUGGAACUGAGACACGGUCCAGACUCCUACGGGAGGCAGCAGUGGGGAAUUUUGGACAAUGGGCGCAAGCCUGAUCCAGCCAUGCCGCGUGAGUGAAGAAGGCCU